AUUAUGCAUUUGUUGGAAUUCUCUAGGCCACUGAAUGAGCAUUCGUAUGACUUGAUGUAUUAUGCAAAUUGUAUGAUGCGUUUGUCGGAAUGCAUGUGUAUGUUGCGUGCAGUUAUUUAGAGGGACUGCAAUGUAUGACUUCUCUGUGCAAUGGUGUGAUGUGUUCUCAUUCUCAUGACCUAAGAAAUACGUUACCACCAGUUUUAAGCGAAUGUUCAUGACUUCUUGCCUAUGGAGUCUUAUUUUUUUUGAAAAAUUGGCGUAUAUGGGCUUGUGGGUUAUAUACUAUCUUGGACUCUUGGUUCUUCUGUAUAUGAUUGGGAUACCUGUUUGCAAAAUUGAAUGUAUGUAGAAUUGUAUUCAACCAAAUACAGCUCAGAUGGUUUCACUCUCUUAUAUAUUGCUGUGCUCACCAUAUCUGAAAUCACAUGAGUGCAUUUAAUCCCAGUGAAUCAACUAAAUGCUUCACUUAGGCUAACUUUUCUACUUGUUCAUUUUUGUUACUAAGACUUCCUCUGAUUCACUUCGAUUUCUCUUGCUAAUCCACUGUGUCACUAAGCUUUCUUACUCUCUACAGCCUAAUCUCUAGAUUUUUAUAUAAUCCACUGUUUCCAUUUCUUUCCCAUUUGACCUUUUUAAACCAUGUUGUUCUCCAGAGAAUACAAGAAAGCACCAUAUAUUGUGUUCAUUGAUGAAAUUGAUGCAUUGACUUCAGAAUCAGAAAGCUUGUGGCAGUGCAACCUGUGACUUACGGUUCUGAUUCUGAAAGAUCUAAUAGUGGGCCUGGUGGCUGUGUGCUGACUAUUGGAGCAACCAUUAAACCUAAUGCUCUUGACCUUGCCUUAGGGAAGCAGUUUGAUCGUGAAUUUCUUUUAGAUGUUGAUGUUCCAAAAAAUAUCAAGGGCAUGGCAUACUAUCAGUUCUAACAGUAAAUAUAAGUUCGAAUAUGAUUUUGUUUUUGAGGAGUUAGCUAGGUUGACUUAGGGUUUUGUAGCAGGAUAUGUGGUAGAACUAGUAAAUAAGUCUCAUAUGAUUUCUUUUAAUGAUGCCAUUAGAAUGAGAGCUUACAAAAUGGGGCUUUGAAGAUGGGUAUGAAGCUUAUGGGAAACCAUUUUCAGUGGAAAGAACUGGAGGAUCUCGGAUUGACCCUCGACGAUUCCCUACAAGUUGGAAGCUAAUGGACGGUUUGGCCAUAUGCUAAAAUGGGAGAUUUUUCCACCACGCGAUAUACAAACUGGGAUGGUGAUGGAGGCCUUCAGUUGUUGAAAUUGGGACUUGAACGCCGCAUUGUUAAGUUUUUAAUGUUUUCACAAGUUUAUGAGGUGGUUCCCUUUCAUUUUGUUGAGCUAUUUUAUAUUUGGAGGCCUUCAAUUAUUGUGAACAUUGCCAUCAUAUAGUUAAGGAUAAUAGGAUGUAUAGUUUUUUAACUUCAUAAGGUAGUUCCUUUCCUAAUUUAUUGAUAGUCGAUUGUGAUUGUCUCAUUUAGCAAUUGAUAUUUCAAAUUUUUGCAUGCUUGUAUUAUCAUAUUUUUGCUCCUCUGCCAAACUUGCACAAUUUUACAUCCAUCAUAUAUCUUGUGACUAGUCAGCUGAAAAUCAUCGAGAAUAAAAGCUUGGCGAGAUAAGAUUUCCCUAUCAUCCUUUUUCUUCUCAACUCUUGGAGCUUAGCAUUUUCUAAAUAAGCUUAUCUUUUAUAGUCUCUUUGGGAAAGUGGGGUGAAGAACUUGCCGACCUUCUUUUUUCUUUAUGGUCCUUCAGGUUGUGGAAAGACAUUGAGUUUAAUGCUUUGACUAAAGAAGCAGGAGCGAAUUUCAUUCAUAUCAAGGGGACUGAACUAUUGAAGUUUGUGUGGACCAAGGUAUUGUGGAAAAUAUUUUCAAAUGUGCAAAAGCUCACCCUCCAUGUGUAGUUUUGAUUGAUGAGGUGGACGUGUUGUCCCGAGAUGAUUUCACAAACAGCGAUCUAGAGGAGGAUGAAUAUGUAUGGAAGUCGGAGGAAUACAGAGAGAUAUGGAUCCAAGUCAGAAAUUCAAAAUAAGAAUCGCGUGUUUACGUGAUUGGUACAUCAAGUAGGUACAUGAUUAAGUAUCCCGCUCAUCAAAGAAGAUUUUGGUAGGAUUUGUAUGCUCCUCUUCCUACUCCAGAGGAAAGAGGAGAGGUGUUAAAAGUUCUUGCUCGAAACAAACCAAUAGAUGCCGAAGUGGAUCUGAUGGCUCUAGGAAAAGACGCCGCUUGUGAAAAUUUCAGUGGCUCUGAUCUAUUUGCACUGGUACAUGCCAUUCUCUCUUUACAUUAGUAGUAUUUUUCAUGUCUUAUUUCCGACUCUAAGAGUCAUCCUGUGCCGGAAAACUUUUCCGUCACUGUCCUUUUGAGUAUAAAUUGGUUAAAGUCCAGAAAAUGUGACAGUUUAUGAUAUACUACUUGACUAUUUAGUCCAGAAUCAGUGUUAUAUUUUGUCAGUAGAUUGUUAGGUUGUUAUUUCAACUUCUUUAUUCCUAUUUUGUUGCAUUAGUUUUCUUAUAAAUAGAGAGGACCCCAGAUGUUGAUUUUUACUCUUGCAA